GAUGAACGCUGGCGGCGUGCCUAAUACAUGCAAGUCGAGCGAACGGACGAGAAGCUUGCUUCUCUGAUGUUAGCGGCGGACGGGUGAGUAACACGUGGAUAACCUACCUAUAAGACUGGGAUAACUUCGGGAAACCGGAGCUAAUACCGGAUGAUAUUUUGAACCGCAUGGUUCAAAAGUGAAAGACGGUCUUGCUGUCACUUAUAGAUGGAUCCGCGCUGCAUUAGCUAGUUGGUAAGGUAACGGCUUACCAAGGCAACGAUGCAUAGCCGACCUGAGAGGGUGAUCAGCCACACUGGAACUGAGACACGGUCCAGACUCCUACGGGAGGCAGCAGUAGGGAAUCUUCGGCAAUGGGCGAAAGCCUGACGGAGCAACACCGCGUGGGUGAUGAAGGUCUUCGGAUCGUAAAACUCUGUUAUUAGGGAAGAACAUAUGUGUAAGAAUCUGUGCACAUCUUGACGGUACCUAAUCAGAAAGCCACGGCUAACUACGUG
rnacentral:rRNA from 1 species